rnacentral:misc_RNA from 1 species
GUUGCAUUCGGGAGAAUAUUCGAGCCCUUUGCAGUUUGCUGCUGAUGUGCGGCUAACUUUUAAAAAUGCAAUGACAUACAAUCCGCCAGGAAAUGAUGUUCAUAUCAUGGCUCAAACACUAAGUAAGUUUUUUGAGGUUAGGUGGAAACCAAUAGAAAAAAAGAUACCUGUUAUUGAAGAGGAACCUUUACCUUCUAAGUCCAGUGUUAUCAUAGAAACUGAGACUGAUACUCCUCCAGCAUUGCCGCCUUCGAAGAAGAAGAAAAUUGCUCCAUUGGAGAACAGGGUUAAACCAGAACCCGUAAAGCGAGUCAUGAGUGACGUUGAAAAACAUAAACUCACUGCUGAGCUUGAGGAUUUACUUACUGAAUUACCUGAAAAUAUAAUUGAUUUCUUGAAAGAAAAAAGCUCCAAUGGAAAUCAAGUCAGUGAAGAUGAGAUUGAGAUUGAUCUUGAUGUUCUUCAUGACGAUAUCUU